UACGGAGGGUGCGAGCGUUGUCCGGAAUCACUGGGCGUAAAGGGUGCGUAGGCGGCUCUGUAAGUCGGGUGUGAAAUUUCGGAGCUUAACUCCGAAACUGCAUUCGAUACUGCGGUGCUUGAGGACUGGAGAGGAGACUGGAAUUCAUGGUGUAGCAGUGAAAUGCGCAGAGAUCAUGAGGAAGACCAGUGGCGAAGGCGGGUCUCUGGACAGUUCCUGACACUGAGGCACGAAGGCCAGGGGAGCAAACGGG
rnacentral:rRNA from 1 species